rnacentral:rRNA from 1 species
AGUGAACGCUGGCGGCAGGCCUAACACAUGCAAGUCGAGCGGGCAUAGCAAUAUGUCAGCGGCAGACGGGUGAGUAACGCGUGGGAACGUACCUUUUGGUUCGGAACAACUGAGGGAAACUUCAGCUAAUACCGGAUAAGCCCUUACGGGGAAAGAUUUAUCGCCGGAAGAUCGGCCCGCGUCCGAUUAGCUAGUUGGUGCGGUAAUGGCUCACCAAGGCGAGGAUCAGAAGCUGUACUGAGAGGACGAUCAGCGACAUUGGGGCUAGGACGCGGCCGGAACUCCUACGGGAGGCGGCAGUGGGGAAUAUUGGACAGUGGGCGCAGGCCUGAUCCAGCCAGGCCGGGUGAGUGAUGAAAGCCGUAGGGUUGUAAAGCUCUUUUGUGCGGGAAGAUAAUGACGGUACCGCAAGAAUAAGCCCCGGCUAACUUCGUG